CAAUGAAGUCAUGAGCAUUUCUAUUCAUGUGUUUGGGAACGAUGUGAAAAUACCCUUAAUAUGGAAGUAAAUUUGAAAUCUUGUUAGAAUUUACUUCCAUCUUCGGGUGAAAAACUACUUCGAUUUUAACGAAGUAAAUAUUCACACCCAUUUCCAUCGAUGGAAAUAGGUGAAGACUUUACCUUCAUCUUCAACCUACGGUGACAGCAAAGGAGGCAACGAACUCCCUCCCUCCAACUCCAAGCUAUUCUCUCCCGCCACCGACCUCUUUCCCUCUGGUAAUCUCUUCUCUCUCAUCCUCUCACUCUCAUAUCGUCUUCUCCUCCUUCCUGCUCUCGUAUCUACCAGUCACCGCCGCUGCAACUCUUGGCAGCGAUGCUUCGGUGAUCUUUCUCUCUCUCUUCUCAUCCUUUCUCUCCAUCAAUCACUCAAUUCACCGCUCAUCGUCCCUCACAUUCUCAAACUAACCUCGACGGCGGCAUCAGCAUAUACGACACUGUUGGUCAGUUUCUUCAUCCCAUGUUUUCCACUCAAGCUACAACAGUGGUGAUUUCCAGUGAGGUAUCACCAUUUUCUCAAAUCCCAUUUAUACUCCGACAUCUACCUCCAAGAACAAAUGUUCCGAAUGUAGGAAUACUUCCCUAUUGCAACAUCCCACAUCAGGCUGAUAUAUAAUUCAGAGACAACGGUGGGGUUUUGUAGGGCCAUUCUCUGUGGAAUUUUUGGCUAACGACAAAUGUGGUAACAGGUUCAUCGUACCUCUUUCUUUUGUCUUUUAUAUAUUGUCAUCCGUUUUGUUUAACAUUGUUUGCUUCCCAAAUCUUCA